UAGUACUAAAGCCUUUGGUCUCCCUCUUGUCUUUGCAUCUAUCAUACCUCUCUCAUCUUGUUAAACCUAGAAAUAUUACCAUCAACGAACUUAGCGGAAGGAAGAUCCAUUCCGACAAGGGACAACCAUUUCAGCUAAUAUAAGGGAAUCUCAGAUGUAGGUUAUCGAUAUAUUUCCCGUGUUCGAUAUAUUUUGUUGUUAUUCGCUGUUCGCUAUUGUUUCGCCGGAAAAUUGGUUCGUUGCUUCUUCUGUUUUCUUUCAUUGGUAAGAUUUUUGUUAAACCCAUUAAUUUACUCUGUCCUUGAUUUGUAUUAUAUGAUUAAUUUUUUGAUUUCUAAUUUGUAAAAUUGGGGUUUAGUUGGUGGAUCUGGAUAGAUGAAAGGGAUGUUGAGAAUAGAACAAUUUCAUGUUUAAAUCUUUUUCUAGUAUGGGCUUUUUUUUGAUAUUUUUUUGUGUUCGAUAUUUUCUGUGGUUGUUCGCUAUUGUUUUACCGAAAAAUUGUUUCACUACUUCUGUUUUCUUUAUUUGAUAAGAUUUAUGAUAAACCCAUUAAUUUACUCUAUACUUUGUUUGUAUUAUAUGAUAAUGUUUUUUAUUUCUGGUUUGUAAAAUUGGGGGUUUGGUUGGUGGAUUUGGAUAGGGCUGUUGAGAAUAGACCAGUUUUGUGUUUAAAUCUUUUUCUAGUAUGGACUUUUUAUCAACAAUGAGUCUUAUUCUACAUUUUUCUUUCUUGACAAUAAUGGUUUGUACUAUUUGAAGGAAGAAACUUAUUCAGUAAUGAACAAUUACAAUACAAGUAUAAUAAAAUAUAAUCUUUGUUGGUUCAUAUGCUCCUACACUUAAUUUCAACUGCCUAGACUUUUUGUUUUAUGAAAUAAGUUGUAUUUCAUUAACAAGAAGCAUCCAGGGGAUGCAUAGGUUACAAAAAAAGGAAAAUAUCAACUGCCUAGAUUAGAAAUCCAUUUACUAGGACUUCCACUUGUUUCCAAUUUAAGGUAAUAAGCUCUCUUUCUAGUUUAAUUUUCUACUCAAUACACCUUUUCACUUUUCCAAUAGUAGGAUCUAGAACUAGGAAGCUACCAAAAAUAUGGCAAAGUCUUUGUUAUAUUAACAAAUUUCCAGCAGAGUUAACUUUUUUCAAAAUAUGGUAGAAUCCCUACAAUUAAGAAAACUGACUAAUUAUUAAAUUAAUUCAAACCUAAAAGAACUCCAUUUUAUAUGAUAUUAAUUAAUCACUUAUUAAGAGAUAUUAUGUUAUUUUUGGACAAAUUACUUAGUGGAUCUCUUCUUUAGAGUUUUCUGCUGGUGUUUUUUUAUUAGUCAUUUUGAUCACCUUCAUAGUUUUUCACCUUUUUCAUUUUCUUGCUUAUGCUUUUUCCAACACACAUCAAUCAUCAUCUUCACAACAUUAUUAUUGUAUAGUAUAUACUGUAUGAUAUAUAGUAAUUGUAGGAAAAGAGAAAUUUGGUGAUAAUACAUACAAUAACUGAAUUUGACAGAAUGGUUCCUUCUCUAUUACAAUUAACUAUAAUAAAGUGAUCUGGUAUUGUGAUUCUAAUGAAAUCAUGUGCCUUAUGCUUGUGGCUUUCUAUGUAGUAUUUCAUAAUGAAUACACAUGAUUGAAAAUCUCACAUCUAAAUUUAAUAGCCACCAUUUCUUAAAAUAUUUGCUAUCGAUGUUCGAUGUCUUGUUCGUUAUUGUGGAAAAUCAUUUUGAUGCUCCUUUUCUUUUCUCUGGUAAUAUUGCUAAUAAGUCUACUAUUUUACUUUCUGUUGUUAGUAUUAUAUGAUACAUUUUGUAAUUUUUGGUUUGCGAUAUUGGGGUUUAGUUGUUUGAUUUUUAAUUUCGUAUUAGAAAUCAUGAUAUUUGCCUUACGUAACUAUUUAUGUGAUGGUUUUGGUGACUGUUAAGUUUUGCAACAGUGAAAUCUAUAUAAUUUUGACAAUAAGUGACUUUUUUCUAUAUUUCUUAUUAUUUGAUUUUUUAUUAAGAGUAUAUAAACAAAUUUUAUACUAGUUGUUUUGGUGUUAUAUAGGAUAAAAUUAAUU
rnacentral:lncRNA from 1 species